UCCGUGAUAGUUUUAGGGGUCAGAAUGGGCGCUUGUCGCGUGCCAGAUCGGGGUUCAAUUCCCCGUCGCGGAG